AACGAACGCUGGCGGCAUGCCUAACACAUGCAAGUCGAACGAGACCUUCGGGUCUAGUGGCGCACGGGUGCGUAACGCGUGGGAACCUGCCCUUAGGUUCGGAAUAACUCCCCGAAAGGGGUGCUAAUACCGGAUAAUGUCUUCGGACCAAAGAUUUAUCGCCCUUGGAUGGGCCCGCGUUGGAUUAGCUAGUUGGUAGGGUAAAAGCCUACCAAGGCGACGAUCCAUAGCUGGUCUGAGAGGAUGAUCAGCCACACUGGGGCUGAGACACGGCCCAGACUCCUACGGGAGGCAGCAGUGGGGAAUCUUGGACAGUGGGCGGAAGCCUGAUCCAGCAAUGCCGCGUGAGUGAUGAAGGCCUUAGGGUUGUAAAGCUCUUUUACCCGGGAUGAUAAUGACAGUACCGGGAGAAUAAGCUCCGGCUAACUCCGUG
rnacentral:rRNA from 1 species